rfam:Bacteroidetes bacterium RIFCSPLOWO2_12_FTLL_37_12 rifcsplowo2_12_scaffold_41, whole genome shotgun sequence.
AAAAAAUGGAGUCCAGAGACCAUUCUUAAAAACGGCGUGUCACUGAAAAACGAAACGAGUAAGAAAUUA